UGAUCGAUUCCAGGAAGUUUCUGCUGAUCUGAGGCUGUUGUUAUUAACAUUAUUAUUAACAUGUUAAUAACAUGUUAAUAACAUUAUUAUUAACAUGUUAUUAACAUGUUAAUAACAUGUUAAUAUUUCUAUCAGCGUUUGGUUUAAAUCCGAUUUAUUUAAAACAGGAAGCAGCUGAUUGUCUGCUUCCUGUUUUAAAUAAAGUUUUUAUUUGUCUGUUCCUGUAUGGAGGUCAGAGGUCAUCAGUGGGCCAUCUGCUCAUCAUCAUGUCUGUUUCCUGUUUCAGAGACAAAACCAUUCAAAUCUGGCUGAUGGAUCCCAGAUUCUACUGGUUAAACUGGUCUCUGCUGAGACCUCAGGUCAAAGGUCAACAGACAAGCCCAGUUGUUUUAAAAAAAAAAAGGCCAACGUGUAUAAUUUUUAAUAAAGUCCCGUUUUAUUCUCUACAUGUUCAGAUUUAAAUGUUUGUUUUCAGGCUGAGUAGCAAACAGAGGAUUUGUCUCCCCCUGCUGGCCGAUUUCCACCAGGAGGAAGAAAGUAAAUUUGGCCAUUAAAGUGACCUGAUGGGUGGUGAUGGUGGUAAUGAUGUGAUAGAAAGAAAACAAAUCCCAUCCUGAUUGUGUUUCUGUGUUGAAACUUGUUCAGGUGAUUUUUAUUGAUGUUAUUUUGUAUGAAAUUUUUAUAACAGUUUUAUUUCCUGUCAUUCCUCUGUGUUGAAUCCUGCUGCUUGUUCAGCCUCAGGUCUUCACUUUGUGUUCAGCUGCAUUCUGAUAUUAAAGCUUCAUUUUAAGUGAAACAAA